CCCCCUUCCUCCCCCAACAACCCGCGGUGGGAAACAGACAGCUCUGCCUUAUUCUACUUUACUCUACUCUAACGUUCUCUGUGGUGUUUUACUCUAACCUCCUCCUGCUACUUGCUGUGGCUCAGAGGGCCCUGCUCACCUGCUUCUCCCCCUAGAAUAGCCUGCUCCUCACUUCAGCCCCCUUACACACUGAGUGGUGUGAUCAGCACAACCACAACUUAGGUUUAGGUACAAAGUGCUUUUAUAUAUGUUUGUGUGUGUGUGUGUUUGAGUGUGUGUGUGUGUGUGUGUGUGUGUGUGAGUUUGUGAUGUAGGAGGAGGUUUGGGGUGUGGUGUAGGCGGAGGUUGUGAUGGUCUGUGAAGGCAUGCAGAAGGUACUUAACGUAUUAGUAUGUACUCUCGUCUGGAAACGCAGGAUAACAAGAAAAGCAUUUAUCAGCUAGUAUGAAAGGUAUUUUCUCAUUGGACCCGAACACACAACCACUCCCCCCCCCCACCGCCGAUUGGACCACUAUGCCCACUGCCUGCGCAAGUCCACUUCCAAUGUACAGACUUGGUCCUAGUUGUUCAUCUCAUCCAUCUCAACACAGCUGGAACCUUAACAUCUCUACACGCAUACAAAAAAACUGGAAACAAACAUGUCACCGUGAAAAUAGAAUGUGAAUCAUGUUUUUUGUUUUGUCAUUUUGUGUUGUUCAUCUCACAACAAUAUUACUUUUCAGGGGAACAGUGUGCAGGUUUGUUGUAGGAAUCAGACGUGACUCGUGGUUAACCAAUGCUUUAGCAAUAGACCUUGUUUUACAAAUGGGGUCACCCUAAGAGGCACCCGCUCUGCAAGGAGAAUUUAUGGAUGCGGAAAAAAACCUAAAAGAACUGCACAUUUUCUGGGCAACUGGAAUCCAGUAGAAUCAUAUGAUCCUCAACACUGCGUCCAACGUCAUUUUCCCAAACCAAUACAUGUCUUAAGACAGUUAUGACUUUACUAAGUACUGUAACAUAAGGGACUCAACUCGUCAUCAUUCAAGUGCUCGUCAUGUUCUGAGUGUCAACCACUAAUUCCAACACUAAUCCCAUACCAAGCGUGUGGGUUCUCUGGUCACACAGAACACUCCCGUUGACCUGGCAAGAAGGACCUCCUUCAGGAACUAGCUUUGGGAUAGCAAACUCUGAGAAUACAAGUGACUACGCAGCUUUGAAGCCAGGCGUGUGUUCUGGCAGGACGUUGGCAUAGGUGUUGCUACUGUGGUGGUCCCACAAUGUGAAAAGCGAACACGUGUGUACAACGGUAUUAUUUGAUCGUGUUCUCCCUGGUGUCUAUGAAGCAUUGGCACUGCAGCAACACUGGGAUGACGGUGGGUAGGUGGCCUCAGGAAGUGCCUUCAGACACUGAGCGAGGGCAUCAGCGAGCAGGGGAAGGGACCUGUGGUCAUCACGGCCCCCAACGGGAUGUACCAACGAGCUAUUGAAACCUUGUAUACUACUACCCUUUGGUUGCUGUUUUUAUUGCGUGUUAGUGGUCGGCCAUAUCAUAGCCAGUGCUACCUAUGCUGGGCAGGGUGAGCUCUCAGAAAACUCAGUAUUAUAUCAAUGCCAUUGUGGGCCUGAUGCGUUCAUAAUCUCUAUGUUGACACUUAACACCCCUCCCCGUUAACUCACUGAGGCAGGGGGAGAUAAUAAUUGCGUUGGGGAAAUGGGCCCUGCAUGUGUUGGUUUCAAGCUUUAACAUCUAGUAAGUAGUUAACUUGUUUUGAUUUUAUUAUUUUCUUUAGAUUUACAUUUCACUACAAAUACAUUUGACAGCACCCCGUACCCUAUAUUAUUUCUUGUAUUCCUGUAUUUCUAGAUGGCGUUUUUUAAGGAAAAUAAAGCAUAUUCAUUGUAGCCAGUGUUUUUUCUUCAUUU
ensembl:lncRNA